UACGAAGGGGGCUAGCGUUGCUCGGAAUGACUGGGCGUAAAGGGCGCGUAGGCGGUUUGUACAGUCAGAUGUGAAAUUCCUGGGCUCAACCUGGGGGCUGCAUUUGAUACGUGCGGACUUGAGUGAGGAAGAGGGUCGUGGAAUUCCCAGUGUAGAGGUGAAACUCGUAGAUAUUGGGAAGAACACCGGUGGCGAAGGCGGCGACCUGGUCCUUGACUGACGCUGAGGCGCGAAAGCGUGGGGAGCAAACAGG
rnacentral:rRNA from 1 species